CAUCCACGAGAGCGGUCUCGAGUCGCUGAGACAACUGGAACGGCAGAUGCUGGAGCAUCGGAUAUAACACGGUGUGCAGCCAGAUGAACACAGCAGGUCAAGCAGCAUCAGAGGAGCAGGAAAGCUGACGUUUCCGGCCUAGAUCCUUCGCUGAGACCAAGAUUUAUGCAAUUGAGAUACUAGCGAUCAUUGCCAAAGCCCUGUUGCCUGUGGAGAAGUUUAACCUUCGUGUCCUGCUGCAGUUUGUAUGAUGAAGGUGCUCCCACAAUGCGGCCAUUUGAGAAGUUACAGAUCAUUCAUCUAGCAAUACUGAAGAGCUGAUGGUAUUUCCACAAUUUUACUUCUGCACUGUUCUUAACCUUUCAAUCCCUCUGAAAGACUGAGUUACAGAUUUAUACAAUGCCUGUCCUUCCUCCCUGGCUCUCCCACCUCUCUUUCGGUAAUUUUGUGUAAACACUGACUGACUGAAUACCUUACCUGGAGGAUAUUUAUGAAUGGAUUUGUUCUAAUGAUAAUCCAACAUGUUUUCCAAGUGUCGCUCCACAAAUGUCCAGAGGAUUUCUCAGUUUCACAGUCUGUUUUCUCUUCUGGUUUCUCACUCAUUGCACUUACUUUCUGUGUGAUAGCUUAGUCUGCAGUUAGAGAAUUCAAACUGUUCCACAUCCAGGUCUGACAGUCACUUUGUUUAUCACAACCCAAUUAUCUCAGGAUUUUGAACAUUUAAGGAGAAAGCAGCACUCACACUUUGGAGAAAUACAAAUGGUUUGUGUGUCAAAGAGUCUGUGAAGAUUCAUCUGAAAUGUUCUAACACCAGCGCAGUGACUCUGGGGAGAGACUGUGGAAAUGGGCAGAUUGCAAGAAGGAACUUCUUCAUCCAUCCCACCUAGAAACUGACCACCAGAGUCACACUGGAGAGAAACCAUUCACCUGCUCUGAUUGUGGUAUGGGAUUCACUCAGUCAUCUAACCUGCUUAAA